UUUUUUCCCCAAUUUUAUAUAUUGUCAGUUAGCUACAUCACAAUGUCAUUUACAUGUAUGUAUACAUUAUAAUAUACAUACUUAUAUAAAUUUAUUAGAGAAUAUCUACUAUUAAAAAACAAAUGUAGGUUUGUUUUUUUUUAAUAAAGUGGGGUCUUCAUCAACCAGGAAAACAGAUGGCAAUACUUGACUAGAAGUCUCAAAAGGAGAGGAGAAUCAUACGAAGAGAGAGCACAAAAUUCACACAUUUUUUGGAAAA